rnacentral:sRNA from 2 species
AUAUCUCUCUGUACGGGAAGGAUGAGAAGCUUCGACUAAGGUUCGAUUCGAGCGCAGCGAGAAAGCGUUGCCGCAGGCAACGACCCGAAGGGCGAAGCG